CAUAGAUAUCAUAUAGAGACUAGAUUCCCUAUUGGCCGCUGGAAACCGAGAAAUCCGGCCGCCAUCUUGAACCGGUCGUAUUCCUAGUUUCGUUGCGUGGCAGCAGAUAAGAUGCCAGAGCAUUGUGGAGCAUUUUCCUGUUCUAAUCGUCGGACCAUCGAAAAUAGGGCUUUUCACAAGUGGCUGCGUUCGGUGGAUUCGGUGGCUGCGUUAUGUGUGUGAAAGUGUGUGUGUGUGUGUGUGUGUGUGUGUGUGUGUGUGUGUGUCUGUUCGUGUUUGUUUGUGUGUCUGUUCGUGUGUAUGUGCGUGUCACAAAUCAUAAAUUGUUUCUUCAACUUAUUAAAAUAUCUUACUUUACUGCAA